GCCGGCAGCUAGCUCUCUGCAACUCUCACAUGGUCGCCCACUAAAGCUAAGCAGGGCUGCGCCCGGUCAACACCUGGAUGGGAGACCACAUGGGAAAGCUAGGUUGCAGCCGGAA
rnacentral:rRNA from 1 species